rnacentral:rRNA from 1 species
CCCUUAGAUGUUCUGGGCCGCACGCGCGCUACACUGAUGCAUUCAACGAGUCUAAAACCUGCUCUGAUAGGGGUGGGUAAUCUUUUGAAUGUGCAUCGUGAUUGGGAUAGAUGAUUGCAAUUUUUCAUCUUCAACGAGGAAUGCCUAGUAAACGCAAGUCAUCAGCUUGCAUUGAUUACGUCCCUGCCCUUUGUACACACCGCCCGUCGCUCCUACCGAUUGAAUGAUCCGAUGAAUAUCAUGGAUUGAGGAUGCAAGUAGGUUAGCCUAUCUUCAUCUUCGAGAAGUGAAGUAAAUCUUAUCAUUUAGGGGAAGGAGAAGUCGUAACA